CAACAACUCCCUCUGUACCAAAUUUCUUGUCUUAGAUUUGUCUAGAUACGGAUGUAUCUAAUACUAAAAUGUGACUUGAUACAUCCGUAUCUAGACAAAUCUAAGACAAGAAUUUUGGGAUGGAGGGAGUACUUU
rnacentral:pre_miRNA from 1 species